AGCGAACGCUGGCGGCAGGCCUAACACAUGCAAGUCGAACGAAGUCUUCGGACUUAGUGGCGGACGGGUGAGUAACACGUGGGAACGUACCUUUUGGUUCGGAACAACUCAGGGAAACUUGAGCUAAUAACGGAUGAGCCCUUAGGGGGAAAGAUUUAUCGCCGAAAGAGCGGCCCGCGUUAGAUUAGCUAGUUGGUGAGGUAAAGGCUCACCAAGGCUACGAUCUAUGGCUGGUCUGAGAGGAUGAUCAGCCACACUGGGACUGAGACACGGCCCAGACUCCUACGGGAGGCAGCAGUGGGGAAUCUUGCGCAAUGGGCGAAAGCCUGACGCAGCCAUGCCGCGUGAAUGAUGAAGGUCUUAGGAUUGUAAAAUUCUUUUACCAGGGACGAUAAUGACGGUACCUGGAGAAAAAGCCCCGGCUAACUUCGUGCCAGCCGCCGCAGUAACAC
rnacentral:rRNA from 1 species